GGGCCUAUAACUCAGCCUGGUUAGAGUGACCGGCUCAUAACCGGUCUGUCGCUGGUUCGAAUCCGGCUAGGCCCA
rnacentral:tRNA from 1 species